CAGAUCACCUGCAUGUGAUGUGUUCGGGGUUAGAGAUGAAACCCAUGCUGGUUGCGAUGGCAGAAGUUUGCUUGUGGGUUUCGCAAAUGGAAUAUCUGAGCUGCUCAUUGAAGAUCAGACGUUGUCCACGUGAAGAAGCUGGGCAAGGGCGUUUCAUUCAGAAACCUAGCGUGAAAGCAGACGCCGAAGGAUGAGCGACCAUGAUGUCUGCAGGGAACCUGGAGUGAUUCCGAGUCAGAAAGCUUCAUCUGGGGCUACACCUCCGGUGUCCCUCUCCUCCUGCCUUGGUCCGAUCAAAAGAAAUCACAUGUUUUUCUGUUGGUCAUGGAGUCUGCAGAUCAGCACAGGUUCCUUUUAGGUUCAGCAGACCUGGGAACAGGGACUUGGGAACAGGUCCUUUACUUGAGAAAUGAUCCUGGGACGCACCGGUGAAAAAGUGCUGAAAAAGAAACAGAAAGACAGAAAAGCAAAUGAGCAACAUUUAAAAUACGGAAGAGACCGAUUCUUCACCGUGGAAUUGCCUUGGCAUCCCUGCCAAAAAACAACUGGAUCUACAUCUGGAUGCUGUUUUGUGCCAGUGAUACAUGUGCCUCUUUUUACACUGACCAUUUGCUCACAUUAAAAGAAGUUGAUAAAAUGAACUGUCAUGAAAAUAAUAGAUGUCCUGUAUUUAAUGACUCUCUUCAAAAUGUGGACAAUUCUUCAAGCCUGGUCGUGGGUAAAUGGGGAUUUGUCAUACUUUUUAACUUGGGUGUAUGUAUAGAAGUUUUCAAAAUAUUUCAGAAUGAUUCCCUGCAAGUCUUUUAAUCACUCCCUCUACCAGUAUUUUAGGGAGGGCCUGCUCUCUGACUGACUGGCACAAAUCUAUGACGUGGAGCUAGAGCAGUGAACACAACAGUCUUUCAUAAAUCCCUUCUUAGUGAAAUGGACAACGGAUACACAGAUGAAUGUGGAAUGCAAGAUCCUAAAAUGAGUAUUGAAGAAAACAUGAAAUGGAUGGGGGAUAAAAUUAUCCUGGACACUUUUAAAUCAAGGCAACUCUAAUGAGAUGAUCCUGGCAAAGCUACCUGGGGAUAGUUUGGCUAUUUUCAUAUGUUGUAGGAAUCUCACUCCCUAAUAUUUAUUCAAGUGAGUUGAACACUUAUGACCACACACAAGUCUGCACACAGAUAUGAAGAGCAGCUUUACUCAUAGCUGCCCAAACUUGGAAACAGCCAGAAUAGUCCCAUAGCAUGUGAAUAGAUUAGCAAAUUAUAAUACAGCUAUACAAUGGGACAUUAUUCAGUGAUAAGGAGAAAUGAGCUACAAAGCAACAAAAAGCCAUGGAGGAACUUUAAAUGCCUAGUAUGAGUGAAAGAAGCCAGUCGAAAAAGGCUUCACACUGUAUAAUGCUGACACGUCCUGCUGGCAAAGGCAGAACAUUGGAGACGGCAAGUGAUGGGUGGCCACCAGGACUUGGGGUAUGAAAGUGCUUAGAAACUGUAUCUCUUUACACUGUCCUAGUCACAACAAUUUAGGCUCCAAAGACUCAGCUCUCUUAAGGGCAUUGAUGCAGAAUGGGAGGAGAAAUGACGUUAGUGCAGGCCGACUUUGGAACCUGAAAGAUUUUAAAGAGAGCAAUGGCUGAAGAGAAGAUACACAUUCUACAAAAUGCUUCCAUCUCUUUUUUUGCUGGUAAGCGCCCAAGACUGGGACUGCAACACGACAUUGCCCUGCCUGCUGGCUUUGCUCCAUUCAUGCUGGGCACCAAUGAAAGCCCACUGGAUCUCUUAGCUCCUCCUUAGGCUUUCCGCUUUGAUCAGCCGUUUCCAAGACACCUGCAUCAGUUUCUCCUGUGUUCUUUUGCAAGGUGGCUUCAUCUCUCCUUCCAUCAGGCAGUGGAGCCUGUUUCUGUCUCCUUAAACCUGGCUUUGUGACUGGGUCUAGUCCACACCAUGCAGCAGACAUGACAGCCAAUGUGGGAACUGGGUUUUAAGAGAUCUUAUAGGUUCUGGAUUGGAUCCACCCGAUGAGGAGGCUGAACGCGUUGACUGAAGCAGGAGAGGCCCCACGAAGAGAGUCGAGGUAGCCCGAUGGCCAGUGUCCGCGGUAGGACGUGCAGUUGCGGCCAUGGAGAACGGCUCGCCCAGCAGAGCCUUUACUGAAUGCAGAGCGUAAGUCAGCCCAGAUGAAACGGACACAAAAUCCCAACCAAGUAUGAAAACAUGAGGAAAAAGAAAAUGACGGCUUAAGCUACAGAGUUUGGGAUGACUUGUUACCCAGCAAAAGCUGAAAGAGUUACUUUAACGUCAAAGGUAAAAUCAACCACUUUGUCCAUAACUCAGAUCCAUCGGAGAAGAUUAUGAGAGGUCCCACCGCCCUCCAGCUGAUUCCUCCUUGUUCUCUCUCCGUCUCCUCUCUGGAGAAAUGAAGGUCGUGUUUUGCUGGCUGUCCCCAGUACUGAGACAGGCAUGUCUUGGGUCGGCAGGAGGACAGGAGGACCUGUCUGGACCCAGGGCGGUGUCAGUGACACUAACGGCCAUACGAGCAGCGUACCAGUAACUCAGCCCGAGUUCCUGUGUGGAGCCAUUCGUGUGGGGGGAGUGUGUGUAACUGUGGUGGAUGCUCUGGCAAGGCCCCGACUGCCCCUUCAGAGCCGCUCCUUCCUCGUGUACCCACGGUGCUGGCUGCAGAUGGCCUCUGUCUCUGCGGCUCUGCCUUCGGCCUUGGGAGCUGCUUCACCCGCCUCACCCUCCUUUCGCAAGGAGUGCGAGCCGCUUGAGAACACAGGCCGAGUCUUAUUCAUUUUAUGAACCGGUAAAAAAGGGUUCAGGAUCGGCAUUGAUUUAGGACUGGAGAUGAAAAACUCAAACGCUAGAUAAUGAAAUAUGCAUUACCAGCAUUUAAUUCUCAGGUGAGUCUAGCUGAAGAGAUUGAUGUUAAUGACGUCCUCUGAAAAUUAAUUGUUUGAGGAUGGAUGAAUGAGUAUUUUCAAAAUUUCUUCCUCCUUUUCAUGUUGCUGUUUAUGGUUUUGCCAAGUUCACAUUAAGUUUUGUUACAGGCUUGAAGGUGCAACUUAUCAAUCAAAGCCUCAACAAAAAAGGGGCUAAGCUUACUUGCUUAAAAUGAAUGCGUUAUUGUCGUUUUCCCUACAUAGGGCGCACAUUUUCAUUUAAACUAGUAUCCAACAUUUUGGCAACUGUUCCGUUUCUAAACUGUAAGUAACGCUAUGUCACUCUUGGUUUUUUGUUUGUUUUUGAAGUUUUUUCUUUUUAUUUAUUUUUUUUAUUAAAGUGCAGUUUAUUUACAGUGUUAAUUUCUGCAGUGCAGCAAAGUGACUCUCUUAUACAUACAUACCUUCUUUUUUAUAUUUCUUUCCAUUAUGGUUUAUCCCGGAGAUUGGAUAUUUUUCCCUGCUAUAGAGUAUCCUAUAUAGUAGGACAGACCCUAUUUAGUAAGAUAGAUCCUAUAGGGUAGGAUCUCUGUCGAUUCUAAAGGUAAUAAUUUGCAUCUGUUGACCCUGAACUUGGUUUGGAAGUCAGCGCUCUAGUUGAAUGUCAUUAAAGGGGACACCGGAGGCGUGGUGCUGCUUUUAACGAGGAAAACCGUGAACUUUGAAAAUGGCUUCUCAAUCCCACAUUCACUUUUACUUGGUGUAUUAAAACUAUUCUGUGUCCGUUUUUCUCUUAAUGUUUAAUAAAUACUAUAGUUAUGGAUAAUAGUACUUCGUAUAUAAUAGGAGAUCUCUGUAUAUUUUAUUUAUGAAUAUAUCAUGAUCAAUAAAUGCAUGUUUACUGGG
rnacentral:lncRNA from 1 species